rnacentral:rRNA from 1 species
AGGCUUAAUACAUGCAAGUCGAGGGNCAGCAUAGGUAGCAAUACUUGAUGGCGACCGGCAAACGGGUGCGGAACACGUACGCAACCUUCCUUUAAGCGGGGAGUAGCCCGGGGAAACCCGGAUUAAUACCCCAUAAUAUAUAAAGAAAGCAUUUUCUUAUUAUUAAAGAUUUAUCACUUAAAGAUGGGCGUGCGCCUGAUUAGGCAGUUGGCGGGGUAACGGCCCACCAAACCUACGAUCAGUAACUGGCGUGAGAGCGCGACCAGUCACACGGGCACUGAGACACGGGCCCG